UUUGGAUUGAUUUAAUAUUUCGAAACUGAUUCUCUAUAGAAUAUCAAAUUUUUAACUCAACAUAUUAAAAACAACUAGAGAAAAACGUGCAAGUAGCGCAUGGAAAAGCCAUGUUAAAGUCAAUGGAAAAGUAGCUCCACAAAUUGUUGGCAAACAUGAAUCAGAGCUUGCGCCUGGCAAGGAAAAACUGGUGUCAUAAGAGGAAACUCGCAAGGUUAUGUCGAAUUUGAUGUUUUUGAUGUGCAACAGUGCGUAUUCGUGUUUACCAAGUGUUUGUCUGUAAUGAGAAUGCGGUUUCAUAAGUCUAAUGAAGUUUCUGAAAAUAUAUUGUCAUACAUUCAAAUAAAA